GCUGUAUUUGCAGCCAUGCCCGUGUCAUUGACCACCUUGAUCUUCUACUGCAAGUCACGCGGAGUACCAGCUCAGUGCACUGCGAUUGCGUGAUUCCUGUGUUUUGAAGGUAUCGAUAUCACCCGAGAGCAAGAGAAGAGUGGUAGAAUGUAUUGUGCUUCUUGGUUCUAGACAAGAGAAGGAGAGAAAAUCUCUCUUUGGUUUUUUUUUCCCUUUGCUAUCCCGGAGAGAAUGGAAGCGGAAAAUCGUCAAGCUAAAAAGUCGUCUCAGGAUGGUGUAUUUCCACAAGCAUCAGUUGCGCUGUUUUGGGCACUUUUGGAAAAAUUUCGAGGCAUGGCGAAUGCAUCUUCGUGGUGAUCCAGCGAUUUCUUUUUUGAGGUUCUUCUUGAUACUUUGAUCGCGUGUUUUUCGGCUCCUUUGCUUAAGACUACUUAAACCUUUGAUAAUACCCAGAAGUGGCUGGUGAGGCAGCGUUGGAAAUCCGUUAUGUUGAGAUUAUUGUACACAGUGAUAAUCCUCAGAUUCGCAAGCUGCUUGAGAUCCAAGCAAAUCUCUUUACGAUAAUAUUCCUUAUCUCUCACGAUCUUCUAAAUCUAUACUUUACAUAGUAACCCUGCCCUAUCAUAUUGGCGGCGAUGCGCUCCAGCACAGGCAAGCACACAGGCAAGCAGGGGAUUGAAGAUCCUCCUCCUUGAGACUCCUGCAGCAACAGCGGCCAAGAAAGUGGAGGAUUUCCCAGCACUGCCCUUGCAACUCGAGGUAGUGAUCACUAGUAGUGACCCAGCAUCAAAUGUUCCCAAGUAUGCUGAAGAAUCAAGUCUAUUGGAAUUAUUAGAAA